rnacentral:lncRNA from 1 species
GUUAAGUUAUCGAUUGCUUGUGAGCUUGACAGGAAUGCAAGCUUCAUUGGAUAGACUUUAUCAUUCCACAAAAAUCUUCUCCAGGUCUGUUAAUAAUGAAUCAGACGUCAAAUAAAUUACUGAUCUUAUUUUUUCUCCGUCUUUAAGAAGUUCACACCAUUAUCUUAUUCAAUGUAUGAGGUCACCAUAUGUGUGCACUUCUAUAGCUAUUAGGUCAUCCUUCAUUCCCCAAACAUCUCCUUUGUUUUAAUAUAUCAUCAAUGAAAAGUUUUAAAAAAUUAAAAAAUUCAUAACCAUUUCAGAGCGCUGAUUAUUUUGGCAUGAUUUUUUUCAUUAGUUUUAAUCAUGUUUGAUUGGGAUAUCUUUUUUUCUGCCUGUCGGAUCUAUUCAUUUCAUCAUCACCUUCAAUUUCUAUGUUGAUUCCUUUGUACUUCUCAUCCAUUACUAUCUAAACUCUCAUAUCCUGAGCCUGUAAUUUUUGUCGUACAUUUUUGCUCUUCUAACCUUAUCCCCCUUUUUUUUUUGCACUGUCACAACUUCAGCGUUGCCUUUACUUAUCAAAUGUACCAGGAUUGUACUUUACAGUAUGUAGAGUAGAUGGAAUUAUGAUUACUUCUAUGAAUAUUAAGAGACACUUGUCUGCUUCAACAUGGAACUUUUUUUUUAUUUCAGUAGGGGGUCUCCUUGGCAUAAGUUUAGUGUGGGUCAAUUUUCAUGGAACAUUCCAGAACAUCAAUGAUAAAUUUAUUCAAGAGACAUUAAAUGGUAUAUGAUGGUAAAUAAAUUAUGGAGGGAACAAAUUGCAGCUGGGGAUUGACUUUGGAAUAUUCAAAAUGGCCGCCAUUACCAUGGAAACAACAAAAAUAUAAAAAACCUUCAAAAUGCUUCAAAUUACAUGAAACAUAUAAUAAAUGUUGCCUAGCUUAUGUAGACUAGACUUCUGAGUUUGGAAUUUCCAAAAUGGCCGCCGUUACCAUGGAAAUGGCUCCAAUAUAAAAAAAA